GGGCAGUCAUGCCUCGGUGGUCCUCAGGCACACCUAUGGCCUCAUUAGGUACGUAUUGGUUUUACAUCUCACCAUCAUGGCUUGCCAGCAGGUGCAGCGGACAGCAGGCAUCGCGCUCAUUAUCGACGAGGGGAGACUGCCCAUGGACCUCAACUGAAAUCUGUGCAGUGAUUUUCUAAACUAUUGCUUGUUUUAUUUUGCAGCCUUCAGUAGCGAUUCCUGCUGCGACUCAGUUCUUGCCUUAUCUCCUCCCCUCCCAUUAUUCGUAACCUUACCUUUAUCACUAGUGUGUGUUUGCAAAUUGAUAGCGGGCAUUUCCUACCAAUCAUUGCCCCCCCUUGUUUUACGGAUUCCCUAGCAUACCCUACUCUAUUAGCCCCACACCAUGCCACCAAAGCAUCAGGCUGCUUCUCCUCCCCGCACCAGAAGGGGCACUGUAAGGGGCAAGCCCACCAAGCCUGCCCAGAGACAGGCCACUGGACAGCGGGAGGUGCGUGCGACCAGGGAGGAGCAGCCCAAGCCCAAGAAGACCACGCCCAAGAGGGCAGCGGCACCUAGAGGGUCUUCUGGGUCCAUAAGCCCACUAGCCUUGGCAAGCCGCGCCGGCAAGGGGUCGGCUGCCAAGCCGAGAUGUACAGAGAGCUCCUCCUCUACCCGCUCCUCCCUUAGUAGCAGUCCCUCGCACUCAGUGCGCGGAGACAGUAGGGAUAGGACCAUUGCCCGGCUGAGGC
rnacentral:lncRNA from 1 species